UUCCGGUUGAUCCUGCCAGAGGUUACUGCUAUCGAGGUUCGACUAAGCCAUGCGAGUCGAAUGUAGCAAUACAUGGCGUACUGCUCAGUAACACGUGGACAACCUGCCCUUAGGACGGGUAUAAACCCGGGAAACUGGGUAUAAUUCCCGAUAGAUCUCGUCUGCUGGAAUGCAUCGAGAUCCAAAGCUCCGGCGCCUAAGGAUGGGUCUGCGGCCUAUCAGGUAGUAGUGGGUGUAGCGUACCUACUAGCCUACGACGGGUACGGGUUGUGAGAGCAAGAGCCCGGAGAUGGAUUCUGAGACACGAAUCCAGGCCCUACGGGGUGCAGCAGGCGCGAAAACUUUACAAUGCUGGGAACAGCGAUAAGGGAACCUCGAGUGCCAGGUUACAAAUCUGGCUGUCGUGAUGCCUAAAAAGCAUUAUAUAGCAAGGGCCGGGCAAGACCGGUGCCAGCCGCCGCGGUAACACCGGCGGCUCGAGUGGUAACCGUUAUUAUUGGGUCUAAAGGGUCUGUAGCCGGCCGGAUAAGUCUCUUGGGAAAUCUGGCAGCUCAACUGUCAGGCUUUCAGGGGAUACUGUCUGGCUCGAGGCCGGGAGAGGUGAGAGGUACUUCAGGGGUAGGGGUGAAAUCUUGUAAUCCUUGAAGGACCACCAGUGGCGAAGGCGUCUCACCAGAACGGACCUGACGGCAAGGGACGAAAGCUAGGGGCACGAACCGGAUUAGAUACCCGGGUAGUCCUAGCCGUAAACGAUACUCGCUAGGUGUCGGCCACGGUGCGACCGUUGUCGGUGCCGUAGGGAAGCCGUGAAGCGAGCCACCUGGGAAGUACGGCCGCAAGGCUGAAACUAAAAGGAAUUGGCGGGA
rnacentral:rRNA from 1 species